rnacentral:rRNA from 1 species
UACAGAGGGUGCGAGCGUUGUUCGGAAUCAUUGGGCGUAAAGCGCGCGUAGGCGGCCCGGUAAGUCCGUUGUGAAAGUCAAAGGCUCAACCUUUGAAUGCCGAUGGAUACUGCCGGGCUCGAGUCCGGAAGAGGCGAGUGGAAUUCCUGGUGUAGCGGUGGAAUGCGCAGAUAUCAGGAGGAACACCAAUAGCGAAGGCAGCUCGCUGGGACGGUACUGACGCUAAGGCGCGAAAGCGUGGGGAGCGAACAGG